ACAUCUUGGUCAUAGUGAAGGUCACACACACCCACGACGGUCCCGACGACCCCCCAGGACCAGGUCGUGACCCGUGAGUGACUGGCAGUGACGACCAUAAGUGAGAGGUCCCUGUGACGACUCUUGGAGGCAGCGAACUUGUUAUAGCACAGUUGUGUAAUAUAUACAGUGGUGAGUGAGGUCACUGUCCGUGGUGAGUGAGGUCACUGUCCGUGGUGACGACGGAGGGUCACCAUGAGAAGGAUGACGUCAGUGCUCCAGCUUGGGGUGGGUGUGGUGCUCUUGUUCACUGUGGUGGUGGUGGUGCCAGCCGCCUCACAACAAUGGUGCGACAGAGAGCUUCAUGAUAACUACGGCUGUCCGACCUACAUCCUAGCCUCUCCAGACGCUGGCAAGUGUCAGUUUGAGACCCGAGGUUCUCCUCCCUUCUCCUUCUACCUCAGACCCGGCCCAACCUUCACGUCCUUGCAAGUGAUACUCACAUGGACCUUGGGAGUGACUGAGACAAUUUACAUAGGCAGGGAUGUGCUGGAUCAACCAAACAAGUGGUACCGUAUACAGAUGACGUCGCACACAUCUCUUGUUGAUGAGACGUAUUACGUCUAUGUUGAUGGACAAGAACGGCGAAAGCUGCGGUCAAUAUUUCAGUGCCAACACUUUCGAUAUCUACGUCACUGGCUCACCAUACUAUGCUCGCGACUGUGACCCUAGUGACUACCCUCCUUCACGGUCGACACAACACCACCACCAGCAGCGCCUUCACCACCAACAACACCAUCUCCAGUUCAGUCUACUGACGAUGCAGUCAACCUUCCGGGGGUGGACUUAAGCUACCCUAAAGUUCCCCCACCAGCAAACACCACAGAAAACGGAGAAGCCGCCGAAGAACAUUCCACUACGGAGGACUCCAGUAAACCAGAAAACGACACCAUGGAGGCGACAACCAGGUUAGUUCUUGGUCUACCCUGGUAUAUAGUGGUCAUUGUCGGGGUUAUUGCUGCUGCAGUCGUCACCAUCAUCAUUGCAACACUGGUGAUCAAGGCGAGGAAGAGAAAAGAAAAGAAUACGAAUCUUAUUGACCAGGAAACUGGGUCAUUCCCUCUGUCUUUCAGCGCCUCCCAGAACUGCCAAUGAAGACAACUACGACGACGUCGACGACCCCGAAGACCACAUCUACGAGGACAUGAACGACCUCCACCCCAUGGCUGGCGCUGUCCGGCCGUUCCCGACGGGUGAAGAGGGCGUGGAUGCGAGUGUGGGCGGCGGAUGGGGACGCCCGCAAAGGCUCCGCCCACGACAGUGAGAACAGCCUCUACGUCGGCUUUGGCGCCAUGCUGACGUAAGACAAUAUUAAACAGCUGAUCCAUGUUGCUUGCUGGCAGGAGAAUGACAACAUAGAGGCCCCUCAUAGUAGUGCAUUUACUAUUUGUGCCUGCAGAAUCGAGCUGUUAGCUCUUGGACCCCGCCUUUCUAACUGACAAGUGUGUUGGCAGUGCAGUGUGUCAACAAACUAAUGAAUAAUACUGAUAUUUAUAUAUACUUCACCACUUACAUAAAAGAAAGUUACAAACCACUAGAAAAAAUAUAAUACAAAACUUGACUGCAUUAUUAAACAGCUCUCAAGUCUCGGUGUUUAUUUGCGAGAUAAGAGAGUGUGCAGUAGACCCGAAAACUGGCUGGUGGUCGCUCGUGUUGACAACUCCUCAAGGAGCUUAUGAAGCAGCAAAAAAGCAGCUACAGGAUGUUUACUACUGGCGAGAAUAUUCUUGAGGCGUGGCCCAGCCUGGCACUGUGGCACUCUCACCAACACUCCCAUCUUGGUCAUAGUGAAGGUCACACACACCCACGACGGUCCCGACGACCCCCCAGGACCAGGUCGUGACCCGUGAGUGACUGGCAGUGACGACCAUAAGUGAGAGGUCCCUGUGACGACUCUUGGAGGCAGCGAACUUGUUAUAGCACAGUUGUGUAAUAUAUACAGUGGUGAGUGAGGUCACUGUCCGUGGUGAGUGAGGUCACUGUCCGUGGUGAGUGAGGUCACUGUCCGUGGUGAGUGAGGUCACUGUCCGUGGUGACGACGGAGGGUCACCAUGAGAAGGAUGACGUCAGUGCUCCAGCUUGGGGUGGGUGUGGUGCUCUUGUUCACUGUGGUGGUGGUGGUGCCAGCCGCCUCACAACAAUGGUGCAACUUCAUACUACAUGAUAACUACGGCUGCCAGACCUUUGCCUUGGCCUCCCGAGACGCUGAAAAGUGUCUUGUUACGUACAACAAUUAUCCUUUCUUCUCCUUCUUCCUCAGUCCCAGUACAACCUUCACGAACUUGCAAAUAAAAAUCACAUGGACCCAGAAAAGCCCUACGAUAAUUAAUAUUGGCAGGAAUGUGCUCAAGCAACCAAACAAGUGGUACCAUGUACAGAUGAUGUCCGACCCGAAUUUUAAUGUGUUAUAUAAAGUCUAUAUUGAUGGGCAACA